AUGUACUACGAUGAUCUCCCAUUGUGGGGAUUCAUCGGUAAGGUCGAGAAGGGAGGCAAGCCUGACCCGAGCGAGUGGAAGUACUACCUCUACAGGCACAUUAUCUUUGACAUCCUCUACAACAACGACCGUGUCAUUGAGAUCAAUGUGCAUACCGACCAGAGUGCACUGGUUGACCUGACAGAGGACAAGGAGGUUAAUGUGGACUUCCUUUACACUGUCAAGUGGAAGGAGACACCUACACCGUUCGAGAAGAGGAUGGAGAAGUAUUCCAGCUCCUCCAACAUGCCGCAUCACUUGGAGGUCCAUUGGUUCUCCAUUAUAAAUUCUUGUGUUACGGUCCUUCUCCUCACAGGGUUCUUGGCAACAAUCCUCAUGCGAGUUCUGAAGAAUGAUUUUGUUAAGUAUGCCCAUGAUGAGGAAGCAGCUGAUGACCAAGAAGAGUCUGGAUGGAAGUAUAUUCAUGGUGAUGUCUUCCGGUUCCCCAAGAACAAGUCAUUGUUUUCGGCUGCUCUUGGCACUGGAACUCAACUGUUUGCUCUAACAACCUUUAUAUUCCUGCUUGCCCUCGUUGGAGUAUUCUACCCUUACAAUCGUGGUGCCCUUUUCACCGCAUUGGUCGUCAUCUACGCACUCACCUCAGGAAUUGCUGGUUACAUUGCAACCUCUUUCUAUUGCCAGCUAGAGGGAAUGAACUGGGUGAGGAACUUGCUACUGACAGGAUGCCUGUUUUGUGGACCUCUCUUCCUGACAUUCUGUUUCUUGAACACUGUUGCCAUUGCUUAUAGUGCAACAGCAGCAUUGCCGUUUGGCACCAUCUGUGUCAUUGUGCUGAUCUGGACCUUAGUCACAUUCCCUCUACUAGUUUUGGGAGGCAUUGCUGGUAAAAACAGCAAGAGUGAAUUCCAAGCUCCUUGCCGUACCACCAAAUACCCUAGGGAGAUUCCUCCACUUCCCUGGUACCGGACAACAGUUCCGCAGAUGGCUAUGGCUGGAUUUUUGCCUUUCAGUGCUAUAUAUAUCGAGCUGUACUACAUCUUUGCUAGUGUUUGGGGCCACCGAAUUUACACAAUCUACAGCAUUCUCUUCAUAGUCUUCAUCAUCCUACUUAUUGUCACUGCCUUCAUUACUGUUGCGCUGACAUACUUCCAGCUUGCUGCUGAAGACCAUGAGUGGUGGUGGAGGUCAUUCCUAUGCGGAGGAUCAACUGGAUUUUUCGUCUAUGGCUACUGUCUGUACUACUACUACGCGCGAUCGGAUAUGUCUGGCUUCAUGCAGACCUCAUUCUUCUUUGGGUACAUGGCGUGCAUCUGCUAUGCAUUCUUCCUGAUGCUGGGUAUGGUGGGCUUCCGUGCCGCCUUGUUCUUUGUUCGGCACAUAUACAAGUCGAUCAAGUGUGAGUAA
rnacentral:rRNA from 1 species